AUUACCUUUCUAGAUACACCCUGGGCCAGAAGGGAAUCUGCUGCUUUAAAGAAAAGAUUCUAGUCCUGGCAGGAUUCAUCACCUGCUGACUCAAGAGCCCUUGGGCCCUGAAUAGCCAACAGUGAUACCCAGGAAGAGGAAGACAGAGCUCUUACCAGGGGGAGGCAGAGAUGGCACAGCAAGAGACAUGCCCCCAGAAUGCCACCAAUGCCCCAGGACAGGCCCACCCAUGGGACCAGGUUAUCGGGAUAACCUGGGAGGAUGGGGUGGAAUCUGAGGGGUGAGCCUUCUUCCCCAGGCUGGAAGUGGGCGACACGAGACUGGCACCUCUACAUCUGAUUGUCCCCCAAACCCAGCAUUUAUGUCGUGAGCAAAGAAAGAAAUCAUGUUACUUCUUCCAGCUGAUGUUCCACUUGUUUCUUCUGCUGUUUCUGUGGGGAGAGUCAAAUUCAGGUGACUGAGGGUGGCCCCCUCAGCUCUAUUCCCCAGACCAGGAAGCGGUAGGCAGGGGCCAGGAAUGGAUUUUAAAGGCAAAGUUCUCAGACCCAAUGGCAACACAAACUGGUCAACUCUCCUCAAGCUCCCAAGGACACAGGAUGUGGGUCUUUGUUGGUUUUUGCCCACAGCCACAGAACUCAAAGUCUGAAUCUGGAUUCUCUCAAAAGGACAGUAACAUAAACCUCCAGAGACGGAGUCUGAGAAAGGCCCACCCUUCUGCCAGCUUGUGAUUUAGAAAGGUGCGUUCAUUCAAUGAACAUUUACUGAGCACACACAGGCCAGGUACAGUUCUUCACAACAGAGAUACAGGACAGAAAAGGACAGACAGGAGGCCUUCGCCCUGAGGUUUCCAUUCUAGGGGACUUUAAAUCUCAGACUCUCAGAGCUAACAGAGACCUUUGAUACUCUCUACCUCCUCUGGAAACACAAGCCCAAGGAGGAGAGGUGGCUUGUCCAGACUCAAGGGCAAAUUAGAGACUGAGUCAGGGCAGAAAUAUGGGGCCCCUGACAACCAAUCAGGCUAGCGCUUCCCUGAGAGGUGACAACCCCAGGGCGUGUGUGGCAAGGACUGGAGCAGGGGUACCUGAAGAAGAGAGAGUCAGCAAAGAGGGCAGCAAUGGAAGAGCCAUGCUGCAUGCUCCUUGCUCUGGGGUCCCUCUAGGUGAGGCAUGGGCACCCCAGCUCUCCAUUUGUCCUUGGCACCAGGGGCCCCCAGCCCCUUUAUUCAGGGCCCCAAGGGGAAACUGGAGCCCAGGAUUGGCAGAGUGGAAUCAGGGGACUCUACUGGACUCUUACCAAUGACUAUGUUUUCAAUGAGUUGACUGAUUGUUGCAGAGCUCAAGUCCAGGGCUACUGCUAGUUCUUGGUACCGGCUCUGAGGUGCAUACAGAGAGGAGGAGUUGGAGGAGGACUGCAGGGAGAGGUAGAGAGAACAAUCAUUAGGGCUGGGGUGUGUGUGGGCUGUCUCAGCUGGCAGAGGGGCACCCAGCCCCCACUGUGAGAGGAGGUUGGAGGGCUGGCCUGCAGGGUCACUGCACCUCAGCCUAGGGCCUCUUACCUCCAGAUCCUUUAGGGUAGCAGAUGAUGCAGGGGUAAUAAAAAUGAGAAAUUCAAAGAAACAAAAACUUCCAUGGGAAACAGUUAUGGAUAUAGAGAAAGUAUAAAAACAGCAAGGGACUGGGCACGGUGGCUUGCGCAUGUAACUCCAGCACUUUGGGAGGCUGAGGCUGGUGGAUCACUUGAGGUAAGGAGUUCAAGACCAGUCUGUCCAACAUGGUGAAACCUCGUCUCUACUAAAAAUACAAAGAUUAGCUGGGCAUGGUGGCAGGUGUCUG
rnacentral:lncRNA from 1 species